AAGUGGAAAACGAUGUGGAAAUACGCAGACAACCAGGAUGUUGGCUCAGAAGCAGCCACUCAUUUAAAGAGUGCGUAAUAGCUCACUGGUCGAGAGACCCUGCGCCGAAGAUUACCGGGGCUAAAGUACGAAACCGAAGCUGUGGCUACGACUUAGGUCGUGGGGUAGGGGAGCGUUCUGUGAGGGCUGAAGUCGUUCUGUAAGGAACGGUGGACUUCACAGAAGUGAGAAUGUUGGUAUGAGUAGCGAAAAGAAUGGUGAGAAUCCAUUCCACCGAAAGCAUAAGGAUUCCUGGGCAACGAUCGUCGUCCCAGGGUAAGUCGGGACCUAAUCCGAGGCAUGGAGCGUAGGAGAUGGACAACUGGCAGAUAUUCCAGUACCGGUAAUGAUUGUUUGAGCGAUGGAGUGACACAGGAGGGCAGGCAGGCAGGAGAUUGGUUGUUCCUGUACAAGCGUGUAGGGUGGAACGUAGGCAAAUCCGCGUUCUGAGAGCCUGAGGCGUGAUGUGGAGGUUCCGGAAACGGAACUGAAGCUGCUGACCCCACACUGUCGAGAAAAGCUUCUAGUUAGAAAAUUACCGCCCGUACCGUAAACCGACACAGGUAUGCGGGGAGAGAAUCCUAAGGUGCGCGGGAGAACCCUCGUUAAGGAACUCGGCAAAAUGUACCCGUAACUUCGGGAUAAGGGUAGCCGCUGUUGUGAAGUCUGAACAGAUGGAGCAUGAGGCGGUCGCAGAGAAGAGGCCCAAGCGACUGUUUACCACAAACACAGGUGCCUGCUAAAGAGAAAUCUGACGUAUAGGUGCUGACACCUGCCCAGUGCCGGAAGGUUAAGGAAGGAUGUCCGGAGCAAUCCAAAGCAUUCGACCGAAGCCCCGGUGAACGGCGGCCGUAACUAUAACGGUCCUAAGGUAGCGAAAUUCCUUGUCGGGUAAGUUCCGACCCGCACGAAAGGUGUAACGAUUUGGGCACUGUCUCAACGAGGGACCCGGUGAAAUUGAAGUACCUGUGAAGAUGCAGGUUACCCGCGACUGGACAGAAAGACCCCAUGGAGCUUUACUGUAACCUGACAUUGGGUUCUGAUACAUCACGUACAGGAUAGGUGGGAGGCAUGGAAGCGAGGACGCUAGUCUUCGUGGAGCCGCCGUUGGGAUACCACCCUUGAUGUAUCGGAAUUCUAACCGUAGGAGUAACGAAACUCGGGACAGUGUCAGGCGGGCAGUUUGACUGGGGCGGUCGCCUCCCAAAGAGUAACGGAGGCGCCCAAAGGUACGCUCAGAUUGGAUGGAAACCAAUCGUCGAGUGCAAUUGCAGAAGCGUGCUUGACUGUGAGACUUACAAGUCGAACAGGGACGAAAGUCGGGAAUAGUGAUCCGGCGGUGCCGAAUGGAAGGGCCGUCGCUCAACGGAUAAAAGCUACCCUGGGGAUAACAGGCUGAUCUCCCCCAAGAGU
rnacentral:rRNA from 1 species